GAUGAGGUGACCGAGCGGUUAAGGUGACGGACUGCUAAAUCCGUUGUGCUUUGCACGCAUCGGUUUGCAUCCCAUCCUUGCCG